UGCCUUUCUAGAGGGGGACGAACAGUUGGAAACGACUGCUAAUACCGCAUGAUACUUGCGAAUGGCAUCAUUUGCAAGUCAAAGAUUUAUCGCUGAAAGAUGGCCUCGCGUCUGACUAGCUAGUUGGUGGGGUAACGGCCCACCAAGGCGACGAUCAGUAGCCGGACUGAGAGGUUGACCGGCCACAUUGGGACUGAGAUACGGCCCAGACUCCUACGGGAGGCAGCAGUGGGGAAUAUUGGGCAAUGGGCGCAAGCCUGACCCAGCAACGCCGCGUGAAGGAAGAAGGCCUUCGGGUUGUAAACUUCUUUUACCAGGGACGAAAAAUGACGGUACCUGGAGAAAAAGCAACGGCUAACUACGUG
rnacentral:rRNA from 1 species